UCUACGGGUGGCUGCAGUGGGGAAUAUUGGACAAUGGGCGAAAGCCUGAUCCAGCCAUGCCGCGUGUGUGAAGAAGGCCUUCGGGUUGUAAAGCACUUUCAGUGGGGAAGAAAGCCUUGGGGCUAAUACCCUCGAGGAAGGACAUCACCCACAGAAGAAGCACCGGCUAACUCCGUGCCAGCAGCCGCGGUAAUACGGAGGGUGCGAGCGUUAAUCGGAAUUACUGGGCGUAAAGCGCGCGUAGGCGGUCUGAUAAGCCGGUUGUGAAAGCCCCGGGCUCAACCUGGGAACGGCAUCCGGAACUGUCAGGCUAGAGUGCAGGAGAGGAAGUUAGAAUUCCCGGUGUAGCGGUGAAAUGCGUAGAGAUCGGGAGGAAUACCAGUGGCGAAGGCGGCCUUCUGGACUGACACUGACGCUGAGGUGCGAAAGCGUGGGUAGCAAACAGGAUUAGAUACCCCGGUAGUC
rnacentral:rRNA from 1 species